UUGAAACAUUUGACAUUUCUGGUUUUCUGUUCUGCCAGGCUCCUUUUGCUGUUUUUCUUUAGGUUGUAACCCUUUUCUGGCAAACUUGCUUUGAACUGGAUUGUGGCUCUACAGAAAAACUAACAUGGAUUUGGGCCUGAUGAAAGAAGAAAAAGACCAGAUUACUAAAAAAGUACUGGAGAUAAAUGGAAUAGUAGUAAAUAAUUUCCAGAGGGCAUUUAUUUGAAAACUGCUGGCCCAGAAGUGAAUGAGAUGAAGUUCUGUGAUUUAUGUCUCUGCUGGGAAACCUGUAAAUGAAUGAAGCCAUUUGUUGGGAUAAGCAAAUCAGCGAAAUUCAACAGCUGGACACAGAGGAAUGGAAAUGUAAUAAAGACUUCUUUGUGAAUUGAA